rnacentral:rRNA from 1 species
GUAGUUAGCCGGGGCUUCCUCCUCAGGUACCGUCAUUCUUUUCGUCCCUAAGGACAGAGGUUUACAAUCCGAAAACCUUCUUCCCUCACGCGGCGUUGCUGGGUCAGGCUUUCGCCCAUUGCCCAAUAUUCCCCACUGCUGCCUCCCGUAGGAGUCUGGACCGUGUCUCAGUUCCAGUGUGGCCGAUCAGCCUCUCAGCUCGGCUACCCAUCGCGGACUUGGUGGGCCGUUACCCCGCCAACUAUCUAAUGGGACGCGAACCCCUCCUUCUGCGGAUUGCUCCUUUGACCUCAUCCCGAUGCCGGGUCGUGGUCUUAUGCGGUAUUAGCACUUGUUUCCAGGUGUUAUCCCCCUCAAAAGGUCAGGUUGUUCACGCGUUACUCACCCGUUCGCCACUAAGCAUCAACCGAAAUCAAUGCUCCGUUCGACUUGCAUGUGUUAGGUCGACGCCGCCGACGCGUCGUUCCGUCGAGCGACGAANACAACUACUACGUACUACGAGACGGGCGGUCGGCGAACGGACGGCGAUAG